UACGUAGGGAGCAAGCGUUGUCCGGAAUCAUUGGGCGUAAAGCGCGCGUAGGUGGCCAUUUAAGUCCGCUGUGAAAGUCAAAGGCUCAACCUUUGAAAGCCGGUGGAUACUGGGUGGCUAGAGUACGGAAGAGGCGAGUGGAAUUCCUGGUGUAGCGGUGGAAUGCGCAGAUAUCAGGAGGAACACCAAUAGCGAAGGCAGCUCGCUGGGACGUUACUGACACUGGGGCGCGAAAGCGUGGGGAGCGAACAGG
rnacentral:rRNA from 1 species